rnacentral:rRNA from 1 species
GCAGAACGCGAAGAACCUUACCCAGGUUUGACAUCCCACUAAGGAUCCCGAAAGGGAACUGUGUCUUCGGACCGUGGUGACAGGUGUUGCAUGGCCGUCGUCAGCUCGUGUCGUGAGAUGUCUGGUUAAGUCCAUCAACGAGCGCAACCCUUAUGAGUAGUUGUAUUUCUCUACUCAGACUGCCCUGGCAACAGGGAGGAAGGAGGGGAUGAUGUCAGGUCAGUAUUACCCUUACACCUGGGGCUACAAACACGCUACAAUGGCCGGUACAAAGGGCAGCCAACCCGCGAGGGGGAGCAAUACCCAUCAAAGACCGGUCUCAGUUCGGAUUGCAGGCUGAAACUACGCCUGCAUGAAGCUGGAAUCGCUAGUAAUGGUAGGUCAGCACACUACCGUGAAUACGUUCCCGGGUCUUGUACACACCG